rnacentral:rRNA from 1 species
AUUGAACGCUGGCGGCAGGCCUAACACAUGCAAGUCGAACGAGUGGCGGACGGGUGAGUAAUGUCUGGGAAACUGCCUGAUGGAGGGGGAUCACUACUGGAAACGGUAGCUAAUACCGCAUACCAUCAGAUGCGCCCAGAUGGGAUUAGCUUGGUGGUGGGGUAACGGCUCACCAAGGCGACGAUCCCUAGCUGGUCUGAGAGGAUGACCAGCCACACUGGAACUGAGACACGGCCCAGACGCCUACGGGAGGCAGCAGUAGGGAAUCUUCGGCAAUGGGCGAAAGUCUGAUCGAGCAACGCCGCGUGAGUGAAGAAGGUCUUCGGAUCGUAAAGCUCUGUUAUUAGAGAAGCGGUAUCUAACCAGAAAGCCACGGCUAACUACGUGCCAGCAGCCGCGGUAAUAC